AACGCUGGCGGCGUGCCUAAUACAUGCAAGUCGAGCGAACCGACGAGGAGCUUGCUCCUCUGACGUUAGCGGCGGACGGGUGAGUAACACGUGGAUAACCUACCUAUAAGACUGGGAUAACUUCGGGAAACCGGAGCUAAUACCGGAUAAUAUAUUGAACCGCAUGGUUCAAUAGUGAAAGACGGUUUUGCUGUCACUUAUAGAUGGAUCCGCGCCGCAUUAGCUAGUUGGUAAGGUAACGGCUUACCAAGGCAACGAUGCGUAGCCGACCUGAGAGGGUGAUCGGCCACACUGGAACUGAGACACGGUCCAGACUCCUACGGGAGGCAGCAGUAGGGAAUCUUCCGCAAUGGGCGAAAGCCUGACGGAGCAACGCCGCGUGAGUGAUGAAGGUCUUCGGAUCGUAAAACUCUGUUAUUAGGGAAGAACAAAUGUGUAAGUAACUAUGCACGUCUUGACGGUACCUAAUCAGAAAGCCACGGCUAACUACGUG
rnacentral:rRNA from 1 species